GCGAACUCGCUUUACAUAUACCAAAAUUGGAACGAUACAUAAAAGAUUAGCAUGGCCCCUAGAUGCAAAAUAAAAUCGUGAAUUGAUACACAUUUUU
rnacentral:snRNA from 13 species